rnacentral:antisense_RNA from 1 species
UUUGACCGACCCCAGCAGCAACGGCCGGUCCUCAGGUCGCUCCUGGCCAUACGUGGCGAGCAGCGCCUGGGCCUC